rnacentral:rRNA from 1 species
AAGCGCACGCAGGGGCUUGUUAAGUUAGAUGUGAUAUUUAACCUGGGAAUUGCAUUUAAGACUGGCUAAGGUGGAGAGGGGGGUGGAAUUUCCGGUGUAGCGGUGAAAUGCGUAGAGAUCGGAAGGAACAUCAGUGGCGAAGGCGACCCCCUGGCCAAAGACUGACGCUCAGGUGCGAAAGCGUGGGGAGCAACAGGAUUAGAUACCCUGGUAGUCCACGCCGUAAACGAUGUCAACUUGGAGUUUGUGUUCUUGAAACGUGGACUCCGGAGCUAACGCGUUAAGUUGACCGCCUGGGGAGUACGGCCGCAAGGUUAAAACUCAAAUGAAUUGACGGGGGCCCGCACAAGCGGUGGAGCAUGUGGUUUAAUUCGAUGCAACGCGAAGAACCUUACCUACUCUUGACAUCCAGAGAAUUUGCUAGAGAUAGCUUASUGCCUUCGGGAACUCUAGACAGGUGCUGCAUGGCUGUCGUCAGCUCGUGUUGUGAAAUGUUGGGUUAAGUCCCGCAACGAGCGCAACCCUUAUCCUUUGUUGCCAGCACGUAAUGGUGGGAACUCAAAGGAGACUG